rnacentral:rRNA from 1 species
AUGUUUUCUAGCAUGCCCCAUUUCUCCUGGCUUGUUAGGUAUUUAUCAUGUUUGCGCUGGUAUGGUUCCUGGUACUUCACGUUUGCAAUUGGUCGCUACCCACAAGACUUGGCGGUGUACCAAGAAAGUUCAGCUUUGAGGAUCAAAUUAAAGAAUGGUACAACAGUUUUCAGUUGUUCACUCUUUGCAAUCCUUAUUUCAAAUAACAUAUACUCUCAGAAGCUUACAUCAGUUACAAUAUUAAUUCAGUUGGUAGAGAUCAUCUGCUCCCCCGCAAAAAAAAAAGAUAGAUCAUCUGCUCAGCCACAUGAGAAUGGUACUACCCAUUGGAUCCAACUUCAUAUAUUCAGAUGUCAAGCUAUCUCUGAAAGGUUUGUCUAG